CGCCGCUUGGAGCGGGCGGGGGCGUCCCGGGUCCGGUGGGUGAGCGGCGGUUCCGGAGCCGGGAUCUCGCAGCAGUACAAAACAACAAGGUGAGCCAAACACGGGUCUGCUCUCCGAAGACUUCUCUCACCACAACCCUAAUGGCCUUUCUAAACUGGACACAGGCAGGUCGGGAGAGGGGAAUACCUGUUUCCCAUGGUGUUGGCAGGAGCCGUGCUCACCGGUCCUCUCCACCAUCUAUUUAAAUGUCUGCAUCUGCUUUAAGCUGACAGAACCCAGCCGGGGUAAUGAGUUUGCCCCCCGUGUGUGACUUUGUUAGCACUCAGCUUUGUAAAGAAAGGAGAUGGAUUUGCCCAAAAGUUGACUGGGGAGAGACUUGAGGCUAAGGUUUAAAUAUCUGUCACUAGAUCAUAGAAAUAGAGAGGAAAUAAAUAUAUUGAUGGACUGUUUGCAUUUCUUCCCAUUGUGGGCUUUAAAAAAAGCUAAUUUGUGGGUUUCAAGCAUGUUAAUAAGCUGUCAGAUCGAGAUGAAGAAUUAUAUAAAGUGCAGUAAUUGAAAAAAAGAAGAAAAGCACAGAAAUUAAAGAGAAAUCUUUGUCCUAAUUUGAUUUGUGACUUCAUUGUAACAGAAUAAAGCGUGUGUAGAUAUUAACAAUUCAUUUACAUAACCAAC